UACGUAGGGUGCAAGCGUUAAUCGGAAUUACUGGGCGUAAAGCGUGCGCAGGCGGUUUUGUAAGCCUGAUGUGAAAUCCCCGGGCUCAACCUGGGAAUUGCAUUGGAGACUGCAAGGCUAGAAUGCGGCAGAGGGGGGUAGAAUUCCAUGUGUAGCAGUGAAAUGCGUAGAGAUGUGGAGGAACACCGAUGGCGAAGGCA
rnacentral:rRNA from 1 species